AUACUUACCUGACGCAGAGGAUACCACGAUCAACAAGGCGGUUCCUUCAGGACGAGGCUCGGAUCCAUUGCACUUCGGUCGAGCUAAACCUUGCGAAUAUCCCUAAUGUGGAUAUCUCGGGCGUAUUAUUUUUGGUAGUCGGGAACUGCGUUCGCGCUUUCCUGAU